rnacentral:sRNA from 1 species
AGCAGCCGCGGUAAUUCCAGCUCCAAUAGCGUAUAUUAAAGUUGUUGCAGUUAAAAAGCUCGUAGUUGAAUUUUUGAUUCUACCAAUUGGUCCAUCUUUUAGAUGAGUACUGGUUGUGUGGGGUCUAUCCGCCUGGUGAUACGUAAUGUCCUUUAUUGGAUGUUGCGGGUAGUCAGGACCUUUACCUUGAAAAAAUUAGAGUGUUUAAAGCAGGCUUAUGCCGGAAUACAUUAGCAUGGAAUAAUAGAAUAGGACGAAGUUGUUUUAUUUUGUUGGUUUCUAGGACAACCGUAAUGAUUAAUAGGGAUAGUUGGGGGCAUUAGUAUUCAAUUGUCAGAGGUGAAAUUCUUGGAUUUAUUGAAGACUAACUACUGCGAAAGCAUUUGCCAAGGAUGUUUUCAUUAAUCAAGAACGAAAGUUAGGGGAUCGAAGACGAUCAGAUACCGUCGUAGUCUUAACCAUAAACUAUGCCGACUAGGGAUCGGGCGAUGUUGUUUCCAUGACUCGCUCGGCACCUUAU